GAUGAACGCUGGCGGCGUGCUUAACACAUGCAAGUCGAGCGAAGCACUUAGGAAAGAUUCUUCGGAUGAUUUCCUAUUUGACUGAGCGGCGGACGGGUGAGUAACGCGUGGGUAACCUGCCUCAUACAGGGGGAUAACAGUUAGAAAUGACUGCUAAUACCGCAUAAGACCACAGCACCGCAUGGUGCAGGGGUAAAAACUCCGGUGGUAUGAGAUGGACCCGCGUCUGAUUAGUUAGUUGGUGGGGUAACGGCCUACCAAGGCGACGAUCAGUAGCCGACCUGAGAGGGUGACCGGCCACAUUGGGACUGAGACACGGCCCAAACUCCUACGGGAGGCAGCAGUGGGGAAUAUUGCACAAUGGGGGAAACCCUGAUGCAGCGACGCCGCGUGAGCGAAGAAGUAUUUCGGUAUGUAAAGUUCUAUCAGCAGGGAAGAAAAUGACGGUACCUGACUAAGAAGCCCC
rnacentral:rRNA from 1 species